GCCGGUUUAGCUCAGGGGUAGAGCGCAUCACUUGUAUUACAAGAAAAAUGAUGAGGUCGCUAGUUCGAAUCUGGUAAUCGGUA